rnacentral:lncRNA from 1 species
UAGUUAGGAUUCCUUAAAAAAUAAAGAAUCCACUCCAUGGGAGAAGCUCUUCCCGUAUCAGGCACUAAUAUAUUUUUAACGUCUAAUUAGAUCGGGUAAUCAUUCAAAUUAAGAACAGAAGCUCGUUGCUUUUUUCCCUAUAAUCAAUUAAUUGAAGCCACAAGGCUCUAUCUCUAUCCAUUUAUUCAUUCGACCCAACUUGAAAUUGAAUUCAUUUUUUUGCUCCGUUUCAAAAAAUCAAACAAGGGUUUNNNN